CACUGCAGUUAACUCCCUCAACGCACGUGUAAACAAUCUAAUUAUUUAAAUAUAGCAACAUUUAUUGAGUGACGAUGAUUCGAAUUUAAAAAAAAAAAAUCAAUCAAAAGAUCAAACUAUCGUGAAAAUUAAACUAACAUCUUCGGUGAAAGAAUACUUCUUUCAACAAUGCUAACCACGUCGAAAUAAAUUACAUAUAAAAAUCUACGCGAGCGAAAUGAUCAAAUUUUUUGAACACGACAGAAAAGAAGCAACGAAAAUAAAUAAAUAAAUAAAUGACUCACCUAAAAUAAAUAACGAUGACGAUGAAGGGAUCCACAUCUUCAUUUGUUGGCCGGUGCAACCCUGCGGACAAUUUUUGGGUAUCGAAUCUCCAAGUAGGGAAAGACGCAGCAACUUCAGCUCUGAGCGGCCUCAAGAUUGCAGUCUCCCUUCUGAGAUGGUCCAUGAACGUCUGGUUGAAGGACCGCCAGGUUUGGACUGAGGAAACAAAAAAUAAAAAUUAGAAUAUUUCUCAAAGAAAAGAUGCUGUUAUUUUCAAUAAAGACCUUACCUCGCCGUCGAUUUUCUUUGCUGCCUUUGAAUCUAUUUGUUGUAAUUGCUCUUUGAGCACCUACCGCUAUCCAUUUUAGAUGUACUUUUGGAGGGACUGUUUCGAUGUCUAACUGGGGAUGUCCAGCUUUUCACAAGAGAAUUUUCUAUCGGAGAUCCAUCCGGGCCGGUAGCCAAGUCUUGGUAUGCAUCAUGCCCCCCUUGAGCAGCUGUCCAGUAUUCCAAUGUUGCUGUCAUAUCACUUCUGAUCAUAGGUUUUCGAUCGACGUCCUUAAGGACCAUGUGUUG
rnacentral:misc_RNA from 1 species